GGAAUAUUGGACAAUGGGCGAAAGCCUGAUCCAGCCAUGCCGCGUGUGUGAAGAAGGUCUUCGGAUUGUAAAGCACUUUAAGUUGGGAGGAAGGGCAGUUACCUAAUACGUGACUGUCUUGACGUUACCGACAGAAUAAGCACCGGCUAACUCUGUGCCAGCAGCCGCGGUAAUACAGAGGGUGCAAGCGUUAAUCGGAAUUACUGGGCGUAAAGCGCGCGUAGGUGGUUUGUUAAGUUGAAUGUGAAAUCCCCGGGCUCAACCUGGGAACUGCAUCCAAAACUGGCAAGCUAGAGUAUGGUAGAGGGUAGUGGAAUUUCCUGUGUAGCGGUGAAAUGCGUAGAUAUAGGAAGGAACACCAGUGGCGAAGGCGACUACCUGGACUGAUACUGACACUGAGGUGCGAAAGCGUGGGGAGCAAACAGGAUUAGAUACCCCUG
rnacentral:rRNA from 1 species